rnacentral:tRNA from 1 species
GUCUCUGUGGCACUAUCGGUUAGCACAUUUGGCUGUGAACUGAAAGGCUGGUGGUUCAAGCCCACCCUGGGAUG